rnacentral:misc_RNA from 1 species
GAUGAAGAACGUAGCGAAAUGCGAUAAGUAGUGUGAAUUGCAGAAUUCAGUGAAUCAUCGAAUCUUUGAACGCACAUUGCGCCCCUUGGUAUUCCAUGGGGCAUGCCUGUUCGAGCGUCAUUUGUACCUUCGAGCCUUGCUUGGUGUUGGGUGUUUGUCUCGCCUCUGCGCGCAGACUCGCCUCAAAACAAUUGGCAGCCGGCGUAUUGAUUUCGGAGCGCAGUACAUCUCGCGCUUUGCACUCAGAACGACGACGUCCAAAAGUACAUUUUUACACUCUUGACCUCGGAUCAGGUAGGGAUACCCGCUGAACUUAAGCAUAUCAAUAAGCGGAGGA